UACGGAGGGGGCGAGCGUUGUCCGAAGUUACUGGGCGUAAAGCGCGCGUAGGCGGCUUUGCAAGUCGAGUGUGAAAUCCCCAGGCUUAACCUGGGAACUGCAUUCGAGACUGCAUAGCUAGAGUAUGGGAGAGGGAAGUGGAAUUUCAGGUGUAGCGGUGAAAUGCGUAGAUAUCUGAAGGAACAUCAGUGGCGAAAGCGACUUCCUGGACCAAUACUGACGCUCAUGUGCGAAAGCGUGGGGAGCAAACAGG
rnacentral:rRNA from 1 species